GGUAAUUUUGACUUUAGGAGAGAGAAUGUAGAGUCCAAAACUAAAUAUAUUACUAUAGAUUACAUUAUUACAUUAUGAAUUACUCGGAUACAUUGCAAGUUUUUCAGUUAUAAAACUCUCCCAUUGAGCAAGUCAAGUCGAUUUCAGUGAUUUUAUCUUACUCAAAAACAGUUCUGAUUAUGGUUGAGACAACCUUGGUAGUAGGUCUGAAGUAGAAAACAUAUACAUAAUUUACACAUUUAGUUAAUGGGAAAAGAUGGGAUUAGUGUACUAGCUCAUAUGAACAUAUGAGCCCAAUGGCCCAGAUUGAAUCUGGGCUGAUUUGACGAUCGCGGAUGUCUGG
rnacentral:lncRNA from 1 species